rnacentral:lncRNA from 1 species
CGCGCGGCGGCGGCGGUGGUUGUGGCGCGUGCUGGCGCGGCGAGGCUGCCGGCUGGAGGGUUGCUGUGCCGCGCCCUGCUCCUUUCGCCCGGUCCCCUCGGCAACAUCUUAAGAUAUUAGAAAAGGAUUUUACAGGACCAAAUCACAGAAAGAGUGAUUCCUGUCAUAUGUCAAGAGCGAUGAGUAUGAAAGAGUCACAGGAAGAGCCUCCUGAAAAGGAUGAAGACGCUGACUUUUUCGAUUUGUCUGCUCUUCAAACCAAAGUUGAUUUUAGACCGCGCAGUAGAAACUCACCAAGGCUGACAAGGUAAACCUUAUUACCCAGCUAUUUUCAAUGUGUUUCAAUGUGUGGG